rnacentral:rRNA from 1 species
UACAUGGGGUGCAAACGUUGCUCGGAAUUAUUGGGCGUAAAGCGCACGUAGGCGGUUUGUUAAGUCGGAUGUGAAAUCCCUCGGCUCAACUGAGGAAGUGCAUCCGAAACUGGCAAGCUUGUGGGCUUCAGAGGGACACGGAAUUCCGGGUGGAGUGGUGAAAUGCGCAGAUAUCAGGAGGAACACCAAUGGCGAAGGCAGCUCGCUGGGACGGUACUGACGCUGAGGCGCGAAAGCGUGGGGAGCAAACAGG